CCUACGGGUGGCAGCAGUGGGGAAUAUUGCACAAUGGGGGAAACCCUGAUGCAGCGACGCCGCGUGAGUGAAGAAGUAUUUCGGUAUGUAAAGCUCUAUCAGCAGGGAAGAAAAUGACGGUACCUGAUUAAGAAGCCCCGGCUAACUACGUGCCAGCAGCCGCGGUAAUACGUAGGGGGCAAGCGUUAUCCGGAUUUACUGGGUGUAAAGGGAGCGUAGACGGCGGCACAAGUCUGGAGUAAAAUGCCGGGGCUUAACCCCGGAACGGCUUUGAAAACGGUGCAGCUAGGGUGCAGGAGGGGUAGUUGAAGUUCCUGUGGAGCCGUGAAAUUCGGUGAUAUUUGGAAGAACACCCGUUGCGAAGGCCGCUU
rnacentral:rRNA from 1 species